rnacentral:rRNA from 1 species
CCAGACUCCUACGGGAGGCAGCAGUGGGGGAUAUUGCACAAUGGGUGAAACCCUGAUGCAGCGACGCCGCGUGGGCGAAGAAGUAUUUCGGUAUGUAAAGCCCUAUCAGCAGGGAAGAAGAAAUGACGGUACCUGAGUAAGAAGCCCCGGCUAACUACGUGCCAGCAGCCGCGGUAAUACGUAGGUGGCAAGCGUUGUCCGGAUUUACUGGGUGUAAAGGGGGCGCAGACGGCAGCGCAAGCCAGGAGUGAAAGCCCGGGGCCCAACCCCGGGACUGCUCUUGGAACUGCGCGGCUGGAGUGCAGGAGGGGUAGGCGGAAUUCCUGGUGUAGCGGUGAAAUGCGUAGAUAUCAGGAGGAACACCGGUGGCGAAGGCGGCCUGCUGGACUGCGACUGACGUUGAGGCCCGAAAGCGUGGGGAGCAAACAGGAUUAGAUACCCUCGUA